GGUGUGGCUUCGCUCAGUGGGCGUGGCCUUAAACUGGAAUCUUGGCAAGGGGCGUGGCCUCAAAACCAUUAUUAUAAUGAGGGGGCGUGGUCUCACACGGGGUUCUAAGGGGGCGUGACCCCAAAUUUGCAUUUUUGAUGGGGCGUGGCUACAAACACACGGGGUAUCUGGAAAGGGCGUGGCCUCGGUCUGAUGUCAAAAAGGGGGCGUGGCCUCAACAUAAUGAACUGGGAGUGGCCUCAAUUUCCCGGGUUUUUAGUGGGCGUGGCCUCCCCCCGGUGUUUGUUGUGGGCGUGGCCUCACUUUCCUGGGGGAUUCUUAGUGGACGUGGCCUCACUCUCCUGGAAUGUUUUUUGUGGGCGUGGUCUCAUUUCCCCAGGAUAAUUUUUGUGGGCGUGGCCUCAUUAUCCUGGAAUAUUUUUUGUGGGUGUGGUCUCAUUUCCCGGGUUUUCCUGUGGGCGUGGUCUCAUUUCCGGGGUUUUUCCUGUGGGCGUGGUCUCAUUUCCGUUUUUUUUUCCUGUGGGCGUGGUCUCAUUUCCCGAGUUUUCCCCUGUGGGUGUGGUCUCAUUUCCUGGUGGGUUUUUGGUGGGCGUGGCCUCAUUUCCUCAGUAUUUUUAUGGGCGUGGUCUCAUUUCCCCGUCUUUUUUUCUGUGGGCGUGGCCUCAUUUUCCCUGGAUUUUUUGUGGGCGUGGUCUCAUUUCCCAGGGGUUUUAUUUGUGGGCGUGGCCUCAUUUUCCAGAUUUUUCCUGUGGGCGUGGUCUCAUUUCCGGGUUUUUCCUGUGGGCGUGGUCUCAUUUCCCAGGUUUUUUCCUGUGGGCGUGGUCUCAUUUCCCGGGUUUUUUUCCCCUGUGGGCGUGGUCUCAUUUCCCGGGGUUUUUUGUGGGCGUGGUCUCAUUUCCCGGUUUUUUUUCCCUGUGGGC
rnacentral:lncRNA from 12 species